rnacentral:rRNA from 1 species
UUGAGUAUGGGAGAGGUGAGUGGAAUUUCCGGUGUAGCGGUGAAAUGCGUAGAUAUCGGAAGGAACACCUGUGGCGAAAGCGGCUCACUGGACCAUUACUGACGCUGAUGCACGAAAGCUAGGGGAGCAAACAGGAUUAGAUACCCUGGUAGUCCUAGCCCUAAACGAUGAUUGCUUGAUGUGGUGGGUACCCAAUCCCGCCGUGUCGAAGCUAACGCGAUAAGCAAUCCGCCUGGGGAGUACGGUCGCAAGGCUGAA